rnacentral:sRNA from 20 species
GUCAACAACCCAACGGCUAAAGCCGUGGGCUUGAAGCCCCGUGUUGACCAGACCAAGGUUUGAAACAGAACCUCCGUUAUCGGUAUGAAAAGUUAUAGAAAACAAACUGUC